CAUCAUCUUUCUUUACAAAUUAUCCAGUUCCAUUUGUUUGGGGCGUUUUCUUCCUUAACUCCCAUGGAAAAAUAAAUACAUCAUUUUUUUUUUGAACUGUGGGUGGAAUGAACUCUUUAGAAAUUGAUAUGGGCAUCCUCUUGGCUAGAUUCCUGCCACUCAACCAAGUAAAGGAACUCACGCGGCUGCAGGACUAAGCUCCUCCCACGUCUGCCGCUGUGGUUGGAUGUGCAGGCUGAGAGCGUCGUCUUGGAUCCUAGCACCGUGCCUAGCACACAGUAGGUGUUCAGCACAUGCCUGCUAGACUGACAUGUCAGAUAGUGUUUCAGUUUACCCAGUAGUCAUGAGUGUCAGAAUAGCUGGCUGUCGGCUGGAGCUCGGAGUACAUUCCAGGGUAAGUAUUAAUGUUUCAGCGCUGCUGCGUGCAAAUCAUACUGUUCUGUAUUCCCUCUUCCCACCACAAAAUGUGUUUAUGUGGAUUAAAUAGGGUUAUUAGGGGUAGCAGGGAUAAUCAAACCCAAGUUCUACCAUACAGUCACUUUUGCCCGGUGAGCUUAAUUUAGACACAUAGAGGUCAAAUUACAAAUGGCUGAGCUCACAGAAGCUUCAGUUUCUGGUUCUAGCCACAGGGGGAGAAAGCAGAGCUGGAGACAUUCCCAGUUUCUAGGUUCUCAUACAAAAACCAACUGGCUGCCACAGCACAGUCACCGAAGAGGGAAGAAGACAAGCAGAGGUAAUGUGCAGAGGAAAAUGUAUGGCUGACACUCUGAAGAAUCGACAGAGGACUUGCUGGUUACCAAGCAACGUGCUACCUAAGCUUUGCCUCUGCGUAAUUCUGCCAAUACUUCUUGCAGUUGAUGAGCUCAAGUGUAGCCCUGUGAGCUUGUGAGUGCGUGUAUGUGUGUGUGUGUGUGCAUGUGUGUGUGUUUUGGGGAGCAGAGACACUACAGGCACAGAGUAGCUCAUUCAGACUGCUUUUUAUAGGCAUUAAGCAAUAAGCUCCCAUAAUAAACAGCCAUGCCACAGUUAAUACUCAAUAAACAGUAUGGUUUAUAAGCAAUUAGGGACCCAAAUCUCAAAAUAAGACAGUUCAGCAGAAUGAGAGCAUCCACUCUAACAAGGCUCAGUAAGAUACGUGGCUUGUUAAAAGUGUCAUAAUUCUCCUUUAAAAAGCAAUUAACAGUUUGGUAUAUUUUGGACUGCCAAACACAGAGUUUCUUAAUCAAAUGUGAACACAAUCAAAGAGCCGCUUCUCAGCUUUACAUAAUGGACAGUCAAGUACGCAGAAAGCACAGCUGAAAUUAAAGGAUGAAUUGAUGUUCGCUCCUGUUUGUUUAUCAACCUGUGAGUCCACUGAAGACAUCAAGAUGAGUCAGAUAAAUGCAUUUUGUCAGGUUUUCAAAGAAAGCCAGCCAGCUACUCUAUUUUGCCAAGGUCUUUGUAUUUCCUAGUAACUUCGUAAGUUAAAAAAAUAUGUUUUCCAGCUCCUUCUUUAAAUUGUAGGUAGGUGAUUGGAGAAAUAACACACGUUUGCUUGUUUGUCUUUCAUAACCACAGACACAAACAAGCAUCUAGUCCUUACUCCGUGCAGCUGCAGGAACAUCACUGCCUCUUACUGGAUUCGUUGCGAGGUAUUUUGCAACAGGAUUCCAAUGCCCAGUUGCGGAUUUCCUUUACCUACCAUAUCUGAGGCCCAGCAACCCUAUUUUUAAAUACACUUGCAAGUGAUAUAAGCUUCCAGCACUAUGUACAAGGUGAUGGGUUGCUGGACAGAGACCGAUGUAUUUCCUUCUUCAGGGACUUAGCAUCCAAGACAGAUUUACAAAUGACUACACAUUUCCUGUUAAAGCACAUUGAAAUGAAUGCACAGUAGAUCAAUACUAUGGGCCUUCUAAAAUCACUUAUUUGACUCUCUUAUCUAUAAAUUGAGUAAUUUUAAAAAUUAAGAACGGAGAGAAAUGUGCAGAGAGGACGAAAACUUUAAUGUGUACUUAGAUAGUUGGAAAUGUCAAAUUAAACCAAAUUUAAAAAUUGAUCCCUCCUUCUUCUGUUCCCACCAGCUCCAGGCAUUUAUGAUGUUGUUCUAGGAAAGUAUCUGUUGAAAUUCCUGCACUUUAUGACAUUCCCCCUUUCUAUCCAGCUUAAUGCGUGGGUAGUAGAAUGUAAAUGUAUUCAUAUUUACCAGCAUUAGAAGCCUCAAUUUCAUCUGUAAAAUAACCAAAGUGAAACGGAUAAUUUCUAGUAUUUUUUCUCUGGCAACCUAUGAUUCAGCAAAUCACUGAACUCUUAAAAAUUUUCAUAACGUAUAUGGAGGUUUAGGAAAGUGAAAUCAGUACAGAAAAAAAUAAGUAAUGUGUUCCAGAGACUUCUUUGAAAGACAAGUAUAAAUAUUCAGACUAAAAACCAAAGUUCAAAUGAACUGAAGUUUAGAAAAUCUUCUAAGCCAAACUUCUGGGACAGUGAAUUAAUUUUCAUAGUCAGGAUUGGGGGACUAUUCAGAAUAGGCUGAGAAAAUUCUAUUCUUCUUCCUACUGGGAAUAUUUAGAAGGUCACUACACCAACAUCACACCAACCUCCAUCUAGAUAAGUAUGAAUAGUCCUCAAGCCAAUGGAUGUUGAUAUAUUUUAUCCACUCCACGAGCAUUUAAAAGGUGUGCCGCACGUUCCGUGUCUCAGGCAUUAUACUCUCUGGGGUGAUUCUAAUCACCUCUCCCUUUAUCCCCACUCUGCUGUACUCACUUUCCAAUUCUGAACACGAGAGUUGGAGACCAACUCAUGGAUGUCUUAGCUUCCUAAGAGAGGAGGCAUGUAGGGUCCUAAGGACUCAUUCAGGAAUGCCAAAGUUCCUCUCUCCUUAGCAGAGUGUAGAGGAUUAGCCAGAGUUUGAAGAAAUAUCUUAGUUCUUUGGAAUUCAGCCCACAGAAUGGAAUGUGGCAGACGUGUCCUUCUUAAAAC
rnacentral:lncRNA from 1 species